rnacentral:snRNA from 1 species
AGCUUUGAGCAGUGCAUUAUUGUAGCCAAUGAGGUUUAUCCAAGGCAUGAUAAUUGCUAAUUGAAAACUAGGCACACAAUCAU